GAAAUUAAGUAUUUGUUUCAGUGAUUGGAUUGAAGUUUAAUGCUCUCAAUUUGCAGAGCUUCGAAGAAGCAAAAUCGGCUAGGCAAGUGAUGUUGGCCACAGAUGAUCAGAGCUGUAAACACUGGUAUUCACAGAGCUCCAGAGUAAUGCUACUAUACCUUCUGUCAAGUACUUGCAUGUUUUCUUUGAUUCACAGAGCUCCAGAGUAAUGCUACUAUACCUUCUGUCAACUGUCAAGUACUUGCAUGUUUUCUUUGAUUCACAGAGCUUAAUCUGAUUCUAUAAAAACACCAUACAGUAUGUAGCUUCCUUCACAUCUCUUCCUCUGGUUUUAUCCUUCUUUGAUUUUCUGAUGAACAUAAUA
rnacentral:lncRNA from 1 species